AUUGAACGCUGGCGGCAGGCCUAACACAUGCAAGUCGAACGGUAACAGGAAGAAGCUUGCUUCUUUGCUGACGAGUGGCGGACGGGUGAGUAAUGUCUGGGAAACUGCCUGAUGGAGGGGGAUAACUACUGGAAACGGUAGCUAAUACAGCAUAACGUCGCAAGACCAAAGAGGGGGACCUUCGGGCCUCUUGCCAUCGGAUGUGCCCAGAUGGGAUUAGCUAGUAGGUGGGGUAACGGCUCACCUAGGCGACGAUCCCUAGCUGGUCUGAGAGGAUGACCAGCCACACUGGAACUGAGACACGGUCCAGACUCCUACGGGAGGCAGCAGUGGGGAAUAUUGCACAAUGGGCGCAAGCCUGAUGCAGCCAUGCCGCGUGUAUGAAGAAGGCCUUCGGGUUGUAAAGUACUUUCAGCGGGGAGGAAGGGAGUAAAGUUAAUACCUUUACUCAUUGACGUUACCCGCAGAAGAAGCACCGGCUAACUCCGUG
rnacentral:rRNA from 1 species